AAUGAACGCUGGCGGCAGGCCUAACACAUGCAAGUCGAACGGGUCCUUCGGGACUAGUGGCGGACGGGUGAGUAACACGUGGGCAACCUGCCUCAUAGAGGGGAAUAGCCUUCCGAAAGGGAGAUUAAUACCGCAUAAGAUUGUAGUACCGCAUGGUACAGCAAUUAAAGGAGCAAUCCGCUAUGAGAUGGGCCCGCGGCGCAUUAGCUAGUUGGUGAGGUAACGGCUCACCAAGGCGACGAUGCGUAGCCGACCUGAGAGGGUGAUCGGCCACAUUGGGACUGAGACACGGCCCAGACUCCUACGGGAGGCAGCAGUGGGGAAUAUUGCACAAUGGGGGAAACCCUGAUGCAGCAACGCCGCGUGAGUGAUGACGGCCUUCGGGUUGUAAAGCUCUGUCUUCAGGGACGAUAAUGACGGUACCUGAGGAGGAAGCCACGGCUAACUACGUGCCAGCCGCCGCGGUAA
rnacentral:rRNA from 1 species